GGCCGGGUAGCCAAGUCGGGAAGGGAUAAACGCUGAAGGCAUCUAAGCGUGAAGCCCCCCUCAAGAUGAGAUAUCCCAUUCGAAAGAAGUAAGACCCCUUGAAGACGACGAGGUAGAUAGGGCAGAGGUGGAAGUGCCGUAAGGCAUGGAGCUGACUGUUACUAAUCGGUCGAGGGCUUGACCUG
rnacentral:rRNA from 1 species